UGUUUUGAGGUAAUUAUGUUUUUGUUGGUCUCACAGAUCCAUAUAACAGAAGACCAGAUGCUAUUCGGACCGAGCCCAUAUUUCUGGAAGAAGCAUGUGUUUACUGGAAACUUGCAGGCUGCUUUAGCAAUCUGAAACUCCGACAAGAUUUUGGUAGUUGGAACUCUGAGAGACCCAAGGAUAAAUGGUUUCUAUAUAACGAAGAUGAGGAGAAAGCAGUUGAUAGAUAUAUUUCCUUUUCACGGCUGUGCUAAGUUCUUUAUUGUCUUCGUUGAAGCUUCAAUUGCUGCGGAUUUUGGGCCCUCGAAACAAGCUUCUCUUGAUGUAAUACUCCCCAACUCAUGUAACAAGAACUGAUGACUUUUUGUGCUUAAACUGUAAGCUUAUGCUAUUCAAUUUGUUUAACCUGUAAUUUUCAUGCAAUCCUGCCAUAUUUUGGUGUUGGUUUGGACAGUAUCUACAUGAUUGAGAUAUGACAAUCUUAUCUAAUAGAUCGAACUGCAGUUA